UGCCUAAACUUUCCGGCUUUGCCUGGGAGCACGGCAGAAAAACCUUCGCAGGAGAAAGCUCUCCGUUCAGAGCACCUGCGAAGGUCGUACGCCGAAAGGCAUAUGGGUGGCGAAAGUCAUC
rnacentral:sRNA from 1 species